GAGCAGAAAGAGGUUACAUCGGCCGGGGCUGCUUCAUUGUAGGUGAUGCUGCAGGACAAACUCAGUUUAUGCAUGGCCCAGAGCAAACACUUAACAAAAUUACGCUGGUCUCAUGCAUAUUUUUU